UUCUGCGACCUUUCCCACAGUCGGUUUCUGCAAGACAGUCUCGGGGACUACGAGACUUCAACCACUCUCUAGUGGAGGAGACUGUGUAAGGCCUUCCUCAUAUGUCUGGUGAUUUUUGAUAGUCUCUUCAGCUGUCAGAACAAGCAAUAAGAAGACUCACAGUGGUUCUGUAAGAUGGUAGGCUUUCUCGAAUGCUACGGGAGAGUGGAGACCCAGGUUGUGGGCUUUUCUCACAACUGGGCAGGCGAGAGGAAAACAUGGGCUGUGGGGGCAGUUACCCCCUUUCUGCCUUUAAAAACCGGAUGAAGAACUUCUCAAAACGGAGACAGUAAGGCAUCCAGAGAAGGAGGCCCACGCUCAAGGGCAACCUUCACAGAACUGGCCAGAAGCCAUGGUGGCAAAUCUGACUCCACCAUCCCAGGGCAAGGAGUGGUGUGUUUUCCUCUAGCCAGCUCCC